AAAAACCAAGUUGCUGAAAUCGACCAGCCAACAUUGAUACCUCAUAUAGCUGAAGCGAAGUCACAGAAAUACUCAUAUGAAGUUCUUUUCAGAAGCUUGCAGAAACUUCUUAUUGAUACUGCCACUUCAGAAUACCUGUUUACUGAUGAUUUCUUUGGCGAAGAAUCCAUAUUCCAUGAUAUAUUUGCAGGUAAUU